ACUCAAAGGAAUUGACGGGGGCCCGCACAAGCAGUGGAGUAUGUGGUUUAAUUCGAAGCAACGCGAAGAACCUUACCAGGGCUUGACAUCUACAGAAGUUUUUAGAGAUAAGAACGUGCCUUCGGGAACUGUAAGACAGGUGGUGCAUGGUUGUCGUCAGCUCGUGUCGUGAGAUGUUGGGUUAAGUCCCGUAACGAGCGCAACCCCUAUUGUUAGUUGCCAUCAUUAAGUUGGGCACUCUAGCGAGACUGCCGGUGACAAAUCGGAGGAAGGUGGGGAUGACGUCAAAUCAUCAUGCCCCUUAUGUCCUGGGCUACACACGUACUACAAUGGCUGUAACAGAGGGAAGCGAAGCAGCGAUGUGAAGCAAAUCCCUAAAAGCAGUCUCAGUUCGGAUUGCAGGCUGCAACUCGCCUGUAUGAAGUCGGAAUUGCUAGUAAUCGCGGAUCAGCAUGCCGCGGUGAAUACGUUCCCGGGCCUUGUACACACCGCCCGU
rnacentral:rRNA from 1 species